UCUUUUUACGUCUUUGAAGUUUGAACCUUUCUUUCUUCUAUCUCUUUUUCAGUUAGUAGAUCCGAAUUCCGAAGCUCAAAUUAUGGCAACUAUCAUUCUAUCAAUCCCUUAAGGCCCGUCAGAUCUUCGACAGCCUUGGUAAUCCUACGGUUGAGGUUGAUGUUCAUUUGUCAAAUGGUAUGUGGGCUAGAGCUGCUGCUGUUCCUAGUGGUGCAUCACUGAAAAAAAAAACAUUAUUCGCUCCAUCGUCCAUCCUAGAAAAAGGCAAAUAAUCGGUUGUGGAAUAUGAGGGUCAACACAUCUGCUCUCGUACGAAAUUAGAUAUUACAGCAAUAACUAUUAUUGUUAUGCCUAAUUUCAAAUAAGUUAGAGUUAACUAAGGCAACCGGAGGCAACGGUGAAUGCGAGCGAGGAUUGGAUAUUGAUGCCGCUUCAACGAGACGACAUUAGGGUUGUUCUUGAACAAAGACAACGGAGUUGGGGGCUGAGCAACUUGAAUUUUUUGUUA